AGUCAACAACUCUAAGCCUUGACUCCCAAAUUGUUCUAUUACAAUCCCUGAAGGAUUCCUAACUUCCUUGCCCAAAUUUAAAGGAUCAUGAUUUGGAAAGCUAAGAUAUGACUCCACUUCUUUAGAACAAAACUUCAUUUGUUGGCAAUCAAUAAUAAAACAUUCAUCUUUGACAUCAAAACUUUCAACAAUAACUCGAAUAAGGGGGAGAUAAAAGGCCCUAGCAAAGAUAUUUAAGAAGGGUUGGAAAAUUGCUUCCUCGAUCGCCCUCUUGUGUGCUUCUUUGUUUGACUAAAUUGAGCCUGCACAUGUUGUUCUUCCUUUAGCAUCAUUUUUGCUCCUUAACAUAUGUCCAAUUAAAGAAAUCAAGUCACAUAAGUGUAAUGUCAAAACAUAUUCUUGAAACAUCAAGUCGGAUGACUGAGAAUACAUGCAUGUGUUUGUCAUGUGACUUGAUGGUUUUGGAAUAUGUUUUGACAUUUAAGUGAUUUGAUUUCUUUAAUUGGACAUAUUUUAGGGAGCAAAAACGAUGCUGAAGGAAGGAAAAAAUAUGUAGGUUCAAUGCAGUCAAACAAAGAAGAGGACAAUUGAGGAACUGAUUUUUCAACCUUUCUUAAAUAUCUUUGUUAGGGCCUUUUACCUCCCCCAUAUUCAAGUUCUUGCUGAAAAUUUUUAUGCGAAAGAUAAAUGUUUUGUUAUUGAUCAACAACAAAUAAAGGUUUGUCCUAAAGAAGCAAAGUCAUGUCUUGGCUUUGCAUAUCAUGGUCAGUUAAAUUUUGACAAGGAAGUUAGGAAUCCUUUGAGGAAUGUAAUAGGACAAUUUAAGAGGCAAGGCUCAGCGCCCUUGGCUAAUGAAGAAGGAUCACUUGAAAAUAUUGCUUGGCAUGGAGUAAACGAUAAAGAAGAAAGAGGACUUUUUAAGGUUGUCUACAAUUUUUAUGUUUGAUGUCUACUUUUUUGACUCUAUUGAUAGAAUGGCGUCCUAUUGGCCUAUCACUUUCUUAGAGGAAGUAAAAGAUUUCUUAGAGGAUGAUUGGGAAAAACCACUUAUGAUUAUAUGAUAAAUUCAAUAAAGAAAGCAACUAGUGAAUGAUUUGGUAAGAGUACCUAUAAGAAGGGUUGUAUUCCAUUGCUUGAGGUAUGAUGACAAUUACAUAUUAAUAAAUUUUCAAAAUAUGAUAUUGUUGUUUUAAUGAAGUAUCAAAUGAUGCCAAAGGUUGGGGGGUCACUUGGCAACCGUGGGCUGCCCUUUGGGCGCCUACUGGAGGGCCACUUUGGUAGCCACCUUUGGCCCAAGCCCUUUUGUUUUUUGUUGGAUAGCCUGCUGCAGAUCGUUUUGCACGAUGUCAUUUGAGCCGUUGUUGUUGCCUUUAUCCUUUGCCAUCGCAGUCGUCCAAUUGCAUUAUUUAUCGCGCGCCUCGAGAUUGAUGAGAUGAUCGGGGAAGAUGAAGAAAAAGAGGGGGGUGGCUGAGAGUGUUUAUUUUUAGGGUUUUAUUCUCUCUCUCUGUGUAAAUCCUUUGUACAGUCUUCGUCUUCAUCUUUGUUCAUAUGUGUUCUCUGGUUCGUUUAGGGUAAGCUCCUAACCUGUAUUAAGUGAUUUUGAGCGUUUUAUUUGGGGAACCAGGGUUGUCUAGUUUGGUCUUGGUUUUUUGUAUGGGUGUAAUUGGAUUUAUUCAUAUAGUGGAGCGAGCUCUUCUCACCGGAGCUCAAGUGGAUGUAGCCCCUCUUUGGGGUGAAUCACUAUAAAUCUCGUGCCUUUUGUUACGUUUUGUUUUUGAUAUCUGCUGUGUUUAUGUUUGUACUCUCGGCCAUUUGAGUUUUAUUAAGCAGUGUGUGAUUUUGACUUGAGCGAGGGUUUGCUAUCUCUGUUUUAUUCAUAACAGAUAUUAUAUUUAAUUUUCUUUUAAACGUCUUUUAGGCACUGAUGUAUCAAAAGUUGUAGCAUUUUGGAGGCACAAGUGCAUACUAAAUUGUCAAGCCCGUAUAUUAUUAACUACAAAGAAGAGAAUACUAGGCACGUUAGCAACCUACAAUAGAUGAUUUCUUAAGCCAAGCUCAAGCAAGUAAUAUUUCAAAUCAUUAUGUUUAAUAAUCUUUUUUAAGUUACAUUAAAAGGAUAAAACAAUUUUAUUUUUAAUUUAUUCUUUUGUAGGUGAAUAAUGCAGUAGUUUUGCCAAAAUGAAAGGAGUGCGACAAGGGGUUGAACCAAUAGAAGGUGAAACAAUAAUAUCUCAAAUACUAAAGUUUGCAUUUUCUUUGAUCUUGCUAUCUUUAAACUUUUGUUGUUUGCGUCGACAUAUAGAAGAAGGGCAACAGGAAGGAGUGGUGUCAAAAAAGAUGUUUAAAAAGUCAGUUGAUUGUGUAACCAUGAUAUUUGUUUGAAGUUUUGCUGGCCACAUAAGAGACAUUGCAAAAGAGGAGGCCAAAAAAUAUUCACUGUUCCAAUUGGGGUUAGAGGCGCUCUCUGCAAAUCGAAUGAUUUUGAAAAGGAAAUAAUAAACUUUGAGCACAUGUUUAACAAAGCUUAGGACAUAAAUUUCUUUGGGUGUUUUCUUAUUUAUGUUAUGAUUUGUUAUACUUUGAAACUGAGACCAAUUGCAUUUGUUUUUCCUACAUGUUUUAUGUCUUUUGUCAGUGGUAAGAGGAGAAGGGACAACAAAAAUGUAGGAAAUGAAUGAAACUUAUUUAGUUUCUUUUUACAUAGUGCGUACAUCUCUUGGUCAAAACUUUAAAUGUCCUAGUAGCAUUAUCAAGUCGUCAUAUAGCUUACCUAUACAACUUGACUUCUUGGGUGCAAAAGGUGAAAUCCCUCACCUUAAGGGCCCCCCACACACUGCCCCACGCACGUGGGAGGAGUUAAUCACGGUACACAACAACGCACCAGAUGGGAGGCAUAGUGUAUGGUGCCCACAAGGAGCCACCCCCAUAGGAGGGUGAAACUCCCACACUGCAGCUGCCAUGACUCAAACCUGCAUCAUUGGGUGCAAUCUGCUACCUGAGAACCAACCGUGCUAUGCCCGUGGGGGCUAUACAACUUGACUUCUUCAUGAUCGUGUUGUAGUUCCUGACUAUAACUUUUGGAUAUCAUAUCCAGGAGAUUCCAUCAAAUGCACCUUUUAGUUUGAUUAAUGAGUGUUGUAAAGUUUGGAACACCAAACACAUCUUUCAUUACGAGGACCACGAAUCUUGUGAAGGAUAUAAUUGACCCCGUUGCAUUACUUGGAACAGUUUGCACAAGUAAGCUAAGCAGGAUAUUUGCUGAGUACUUGAGUGAAGAUCAAAUGCUUGCUGUGGUUUGUAGCUCCGAGGUAUGCGCUUCAAUAAAGGAAGGGAAAAAAAGUUCUUUUCUUGAUACAUCUCCAUUUCGUGUACUGUUUUGUACUGUUUGGAACCAAAGGAAAUAGAGAUCUUUUGAGUCAGACGAAUUCCCCUCUCCCAUUGUUAGGGAUACAUAGCUGUAUCUUUUUCGUUUUGAUAAUAUUAACGUUUAUAUUAUGCUGUAGCAUAUUCUCUGGAAUCCGAAGCAUAAUUUGUGCAGUAAGCACUUGAAGUAAUAAUGUAAAGCCAAUAUGUAGCCUGAAUCACUGUCUAGUAAUUUCAUUCUUCCUGCUCUGCAUCAAGUCCUUGAAGUUUUUAGCCUUUGGAUGACAAGGUGAUUCUGGCCUCCUUCCUUCAACUAUGAUGUCCACUAUAUGGACUCUUGAUUUGGUUUUCAAAAAAUCGAACAGUAAUCUCCAGUAAGAACUUGAUUGUGACAUGUAAAGUGACUCCUUAGCUUAUCUUGUUUUGUGGUAGUUGCAUAUUCUCUGCCCCAUCCUGCUGUGUCAAUUUCUAAUUUCAACUGAUGACAAAGCAGUUUUUAAGCAAGAGUUUCAAAGAGGGAGCUCAGAGUUACAUCCAUGGUUGGUUUCUGUCUUCAAUUAUUUGUGUUUCGAAUAUUGGUUCUACAGCAAUCUAUUUCAGGUGCCAGGUAUCUGUAACCGUGCUGCCGGUUCCAACUGGGAAAUAUAGUUUUCCAAGUUGUCAACUACGAGGGCAUGUCAUGUUGAUGGGGAUAUUGAUAAUAUGAAAAAAAUUGGCGAGUCUUGUAUGCUUACACUAAAGUCAGAUUUAUUUAUCUCAGAAGAUACUAUCUGGUAUACUUUCAGGCACGGUUUCUGUACUGUUCCUGCUAAUCCCCUCCUUGCGAUUGAAGGGAGCUUCUGUUUUUGGUGGCCACUCACUCCUGUUACCCGGAACUUCAAUUGAGCGUUAAGAGUUCUGUCAUGCAAGCUCCAAUGUUGGAGCAUGAGAGUUCUAGUCUCCAUGUUCGGAUGGAAAGUCCUUGUAGGUCCUGUUGCCCCAGGAGUGGGGAACCUCAUAUCCUCCAUUGUGAAUAAUGAGAGGGUACAACAAAAUAUUUAAAAAGUUAUAUUGCUUCUCUGAUGGACUUGAGGAUAAUAUUUACAGGUACGGUGAGCAAAUUGGAUAUUUUGAAAGGGCACAAGUGCUUAAUGAUCAGAAGACAGAAAUUGAGCCAGUCAUGCGCCGCAAGGUUCUGAAUUACUUGCAGGAUUGUUCUUCUGUUAGUUCUCCUCCAUUGAAUGGACUAAAAUUUAACAAUGUAAAAAAAUUUAAUGGUGACAGGUUAUCUAUUUGACCUUUUAUACUCUUAAUACUCUGAAAAAGGGUUGUGUGAAUGAAGUUUUGCGCCAAAGAGUUAUUGAGUUAUUCAAUAACUUUAUGAUUAAACUGGAAUUUCAUCCUUAUGUAAACCCAUUG